rnacentral:misc_RNA from 1 species
AAAAAAAGAUGGCGGAGACCAAGACGGUAGGCGUGGUUGGCAAUGGCCAGAUGGGCUCCGGUAUCGCCCAACUUGCCGCUUUACAUGGGCUCCAUGUCUGGCUUCUUGACACGGAUCCUGAUGCUCUUUCCAAAGCUAGAAAAUCUGUCACUAGUAACAUCCACCGUCUCGUCUCCAAAGGUCAUCUCUCUCAGGCAGCUUUCAAUGAUGCUGUGGGGCGUUUAUAUUGUACCUCAAAGUUGGAGGAGCUGCGUGAGGCAGAUUUUGUUAUUGAAGCUAUUGUGGAAUCUGAAGAUGUGAAGAAAAAGUUAUUUCUUGAAGUUGACAAGUUUGUUAAAAGUUCAGCCAUUUUGGCUUCUAAUACAAGUUCUAUCUCCAUAACUCGUCUUGCCUCUGCAACUAGCAGGCCGAGCCAGGUAAUAGGCAUGCAUUUUAUGAAUCCUCCUCCAAUAAUGAAAUUGGUUGAGAUUGUGCGUGGUGCAGACACAUCAGAUGAGACAUUUUAUGCAACCAGGGCCUUGGCAGAGAGGUUUGGCAAGACAGUUAUAUGCUCACAGGAUUUUUCUGGUUUCAUUGUAAACCGAAUCCUAAUGCCAAUGAUAAACGAAGCAAUUCAUACUCUUUAUACCGGAGUGGCAACAAAGGAGGACAUUGAUACAGGAAUGAAGUUAGGAACAAACCAUCCAAUGGGUCCUUUAGAGCUUGCAGAUUUUAUAGGAUUGGAUGUCUGCCUGUCAAUAAUGAAAGUGCUUCAUGCUGGCCUAGGGGAAAGUAAAUAUGCUCCCUGUCCUCUUCUUGUGCAGUAUGUUGAUGCCGGUCGUCUCGGACGAAAACGUGGUAUUGGAGUAUAUGACUAUCGUAAAACACCUGAACAAGUAAAGCCAUCAGCUCGGCUUUGAAAUUAUAGCAUAGUAUUUUGCCAAUAGUGCAACGCUUUGUAAAUAAAAUACAUGCAAAUAAGUGUCUACUACCAACUCCUUCAAUUGUGUUGUUUUCUUCCUUUGGAUCCUUGUAAAUUAAGAAAAAGUUCUAUAGAACGUGGGUAAGAUCCUCCAAAAAGGGAAAGAUUGUGCCUGAAGUAAUGAAC